AGUGAAUAGAUACCCAGGUAGUCCACGCCCUAAACGAUGUCUACUAGUUGUUGGUGGAGUAAAAUCCAUGAGUAAACGCAGCUAACGCGUGAAGUAGACCGCCUGGGGAGUACGGUCGCAAGAUUAAAACUCAAAGGAAUUGACGGGGGCCCGCACAAGCGGUGGAUUAUGUGGAUUAAUUCGAUGCAACGCGAAAAACCUUACCUGGCCUUGACAUGCCACUAACGAAGCAGAGAUGCAUUAGGUGCCCGUAAGGGAAAGUGGACACAGGUGCUGCAUGGCUGUGUCAGCUCGUGUCGUGAGAUGUUGGGUUAAAGUCCCGCAACGAGCGCAACCCUUGCCAUUAAUUGCCAUCAUUUAGUUGGGCACUUUAAUGGACUGCCGGUGACAAACCGGAGGAAGGUGGGGAGUGACGUCAAGUCCUCAUGGCCCUUAUGGCCAGGGCUUCACACGUAAUACAAUGGUCGGUACAGAGAGUUG
rnacentral:rRNA from 1 species